AUUGAACGCUGGCGGCAGGCCUAACACAUGCAAGUCGAACGCGUGGCGGACGGGUGCUUAAUGUCUGGAAAACUGCCCGCUGGAGGGGGAUAACUACUGGAAACGGUAGCUAAUACCGCAUACCAUCGGAUGUGCCCCGAUGGGAUUAGAUAGUAGGUGGGGUAACGGCUCACCUAGGCGACGAUCACUAGCUGGUCUGAGAGGAUGACCAGCAACAGUGGAACUGAGACAAGGUCCAGACUCCUACGGGAGGCAGCAGUGGGGAAUAUUGCACAAUGGGCGCAAGCCUGAUGCAGCCAUGCGGCGUGAAUGAAGAAGGCCGUCGGGUUGUAAAGUACUGUCAGCGAGGAGGCGUUACUCGAAGAAGAAGCACCGGCUAACUCCGUGCCAGCAGCCGCGGUAAUAC
rnacentral:rRNA from 1 species